UACAGAGGGGGCAAGCGUUAUUCGGAAUUAUUGGGCGUAAAGGGCGCGUAGGCGGCUUCGCAAGUGGAAGGUGAAAUCCCUCGGCUUAACCGAGGAACUGUUUUUUAAACUGCGUUGCUUGAGGUUGGGAGAGGUGAGUGGAAUUCUUAGUGUAGCGGUGAAAUGCGUAGAUAUUGGGAGGAACACCAGUGGCGAAGGCGGCUCACUGGACCGGUUCUGACGCUGAUGCGCGAAAGCGUGGGGAGCAAACGGG
rnacentral:rRNA from 1 species